CUCGUGAUUUCCUUUACUUUAGAAGUUUGUAUAAAUGUCCUGUUUGUUUUCCUACGUAUUAGUAGUGGAAAAGGAAAAGAAGUUUCUUUCCUAGAAAUAAUUUAGCUGAGGUAUCUAUAUGUUCACGGUACUGAAACUGAAUAGAUAGCUUAUUUCACUUCUCCCACCUCCGAUCCCCCUUUUUUUUCUUUUCAAGCCAGCCAAACAGAGCAUACAUUUACCAUUUUAG
rnacentral:misc_RNA from 1 species